GAUGAAGAACGCAGCGAAAUGCGAUAAGUAAUGUGAAUUGCAGAAUUCAGUGAAUCAUCGAAUCUUUGAACGCACAUUGCGCCCGCUAGUAUUCUGGCGGGCAUGCCUGUCCGAGCGUCAUUUCAACCCUCAAGCCCCCGGGCUUGGUGUUGGGGAUCGGCGAGCCUCCGCGCCCGCCGUCCCCUAAAUCUAGUGGCGGUCUCGCUGUAGCUUCCUCUGCGUAGUAGCACACCUCGCACUGGGAAACAGCGCGGCCACGCCGUUAAACCCCCAACUUCUGAACGUUUGACCUCGGAUCAGGUAGGAAUACCCGCUGAACUUAAGCAUAUCAAUAAUCGGAGGA
rnacentral:misc_RNA from 1 species